GCUGAUUCUGCUGUGAAAAUGGGGACAGUAUUGGUUAUUCAGGCAAUGAUACCACUGGAUGAAAAAUAAGCCAGGUUGGUAGAGAUCCAGGGUCUCUGCACUAGCAGAGGAAAAACAGAAAAGGAGUUUAAUAGCUUACCUGUAGAACAGGAAGCUUAGACCUGGUCUUUGAAGACCUCUGUCCUAUUCCAGAGAACACCUCUAUCAUUAUUCCAAGUAUGAUGACAACAUGGAAUGCACUGUCAAAGUCCUCUAGUUAUCUUUGGUCCCCACUUGCCUUAUGUGGAGGAGUGUGACAGACAGGUGUGAAUCAAGGUAAAAAGGAUUAUUAUCUUAGAAGACUUUUCCUAUUGUGCUGUU
rnacentral:lncRNA from 1 species